rnacentral:rRNA from 1 species
CCUACGGGAGGCAGCAGUGGGGGAUAUUGCACAAUGGGGGAAACCCUGAUGCAGCGACGCCGCGUGGGUGAAGACGUAUUUCGGGAUGUAAAGCCCUAUCAGCAGGGAAGUAAGAAGACGGUACCUGACUAAGAAGCCCCGGCUAACUACGUGCCAGCAGCCGCGGUAAUACGUAGGGGGCGCGCGUUAUCCGGAUUCACUGGGUGUAAAGGGAGCGUAGACGGCCGUGCAAGCCAGGAGUGAAAGCCCGGGGCCCAACCCCGGGACUGCACGUGGAACUGUGCGGCUGGAGUGCGGGAGGGGCAGGCGGAAUUCCUGGUGUAGCGGUGAAAUGCGUAGAUAUCAGGAGGAACACCGACGGCGAAGGCGGCCUGCUGGACCGCGACUGACGUUGAGGCUCGAAAGCGUGGGGAGCGAACAGGAUUAGAUACCCCUGUAGUC